rnacentral:sRNA from 1 species
CAGGUUCGGGUCGAACGCAGUGAGACAACGGAGCCGCUUGCGGCGACGGCCCGAAGGGCGAGGCGAAGUCGAGUCAUCCUGCACGACCCACCA